rnacentral:rRNA from 1 species
GACGAACGCUGGCGGCGUGCUUAACACAUGCAAGUCGAACGGAAAGGCCCUGCUUUUGUGGGGUGCUCGAGUGGCGAACGGGUGAGUAACACGUGAGUAACCUGCCCUUGACUUUGGGAUAACUUCAGGCAACUGGGGCUAAUACCGGAUAGGAGCUCCUGCUGCAUGGUGGGGGUUGGAAAGUUUCGGCGGUUGGGGAUGGACUCGCGGCUUAUCAGCUUGUUGGUGGGGUAGUGGCUUACCAAGGCUUUGACGGGUAGCCGGCCUGAGAGGGUGACCGGCCACAUGGGGACUGAGAUACGGCCCAGACUCCUACGGGAGGCAGCAGUGGGGAAUAUUGCACAAUGGGCGGAAGCCUGAUGCAGCAACGCCGCGUGCGGGAUGACGGCCUUCGGGUUGUAAACCGCUUUCGCCUGUGACGAAGCGUGAGUGACGGUAAUGGGUAAAGAAGCACCGGCUAACUACGUG